rnacentral:rRNA from 1 species
GAUGAACGCUGGCGGCGUGCCUAAUACAUGCAAGUCGAGCGAACGGACGAGAAGCUUGCUUCUCUGAUGUUAGCGGCGGACGGGUGAGUAACACGUGGAUAACCUACCUAUAAGACUGGGAUAACUUCGGGAAACCGGAGCUAAUACCGGAUAAUAUUUUGAACCGCAUGGUUCAAAAGUGAAAGACGGUCUUGCUGUCACUUAUAGAUGGAUCCGCGCUGCAUUAGCUAGUUGGUAAGGUAACGGCUUACCAAGGCAACGAUGCAUAGCCGACCUGAGAGGGUGAUCGGCCACACUGGAACUGAGACACGGUCCAGACUCCUACGGGAGGCAGCAGUAGGGAAUCUUCCGCAAUGGGCGAAAGCCUGACGGAGCAACGCCGCGUGAGUGAUGAAGGUCUUCGGAUCGUAAAACUCUGUUAUUAGGGAAGAACAUAUGUGUAAGUAACUGUGCACAUCUUGACGGUACCUAAUCGGAAAGCCACGGCUAACUACGUGCCAGCAGCCGCGGUAAUACGUAGGUGGCAAGCGUUAUCCGGAAUUAUUGGGCGUAAAGCGCGCGUAGGCGGUUUUUUAAGUCUGAUGUGAAAGCCCACGGCUCAACCGUGGAGGGUCACUGGAAACUGGAAAACUUGAGUGCAGAAGAGGAAAGUGGAAUUCCAUGUGUAGCGGUGAAAUGCGCAGAGAUAUGGAGGAACACCAGUGGCGAAGGCGACUUUCUGGUCUGUAACUGACGCUGAUGUGCGAAAGCGUGGGGAUCAAACAGGAUUAGAUACCCUGGUAGUCCACGCCGUAAACGAUGAGUGCUAAGUGUUAGGGGGUUUCCGCCCCUUAGUGCUGCAGCUAACGCAUUAAGCACUCCGCCUGGGGAGUACGACCGCAAGGUUGAAACUCAAAGGAAUUGACGGGGACCCGCACAAGCGGUGGAGCAUGUGGUUUAAUUCGAAGCAACGCGAAGAACCUUACCAAAUCUUGACAUCCUUUGACAACUCUAGAGAUAGAGCUUUCCCCUUCGGGGGACAAAGUGACAGGUGGUGCAUGGUUGUCGUCAGCUCGUGUCGUGAGAUGUUGGGUUAAGUCCCGCAACGAGCGCAACCCUUAAGCUUAGUUGCCAUCAUUAAGUUGGGCACUCUAAGUUGACUGCCGGUGACAAACCGGAGGAAGGUGGGGAUGACGUCAAAUCAUCAUGCCCCUUAUGAUUUGGGCUACACACGUGCUACAAUGGACAAUACAAAGGGCAGCGAAACCGCGAGGUCAAGCAAAUCCCAUAAAGUUGUUCUCAGUUCGGAUUGUAGUCUGCAACUCGACUACAUGAAGCUGGAAUCGCUAGUAAUCGUAGAUCAGCAUGCUACGGUGAAUACGUUCCCGGGUCU